AUUGAACGCUGGCGGCAGGCCUAACACAUGCAAGUCGAACGAGUGGCGGACGGGUGAGUAAUGUCUGGGAAACUGCCUGAUGGAGGGGGAUAACUUCUGGAAACGGUAGCUAAUACCGCUAACCAUCAGUUGGGCCCAGAUGGUAUUAGCUAGUGGUGGGGGUAACGGCUCACCAAGGCGACGAUCCCUAGCUGGUCUGAGAGGAUGACCGGCAACACGGGAACGGAGCCAGGGCCCAGACGCCUACGGGAGGCAGCAGAGGGGAAUAUUGGCCAAUGGGCGCAAGCCUGAUGCAGCCAUGCCGCGGGUAUGAAGAAGGCCUUCGGGUUUUAAAGUACUUUCUGCGGGGAGGCGUUACCCACAGAAGAAGCACCGGCUAACUCCGUGCCAGCAGCCGCGGUAAUAC
rnacentral:rRNA from 1 species